UGGGCUGGAGCUCAGCGGUAGAGCGCUCGCCUCCUUUGUGUGAGGCCCUGGGUUCGAUCCUCAGCACCACAU
rnacentral:tRNA from 1 species